AAAAAGUUUGUAAGUAUUAACUUUUUCAACCAAAUAGAUGUACUUUUCAUUAUAAAUACAAAAUGGUAAUUAACUUUCAGAGUUGCAUAAAAUCAAAACAGUUAAACUUUUAUUAGUAGAUGUCACCAUAGUAUCUAUAACAUCUCCACAUGCAAAGUACUCUAACGACUAACUUACCUGAAAUCCCACCUUGUGUUUCAUACAUUUUGUAUCAAAUCUAUUCGCAAUAUCAAGUUAAAUGUCCAAAGAAGUGGUAUGAUAACUAUUGGUUAGUAUAGCAUUAAAUACUAAUUCCCUCGAUUUCAAUUCUAUCACACAUUCGCAAAGACUUUGUACUGGAAAAAAUACCGCCUAAAUUCAUUCAUAUAUUUACUAAAAAAUAGGAUUAAAAUUCAAAUAAAAAUAAUUAGAUCUAGUCAAAAAAAAAAGCAAGCUAUUGCCACAGAAAUGUUCAUAAAAUAUAAUAUAAGGAUUUAGUAGCAAAACACCCUAAUUUAUUUCUACCAAACAAGCUACACUAGUGUAAAUCUAGAUGAAAAAAAUUCAACAAACUCCCUUUCAUUAAUUGAUCCUUUUUGGUUGUCAUCCAAUGCAUUAAAAAUAAUGCUCAGCUCAUCUUGAGAAAAUUGAUAAUUGUUAUCUGUUCUGUCACUUAUUAAUCUAUUGAACUCAUCGCCAAGCAUUCCAAAUAAUGGAUCAGAAAGAGCAUAACUUCUAUAUAUUUCAAUAGUAUUGCAAGCUCCAACACUUGUAUAACUCGAUAUGACACUCUUCUUAAUUCUAUUCAGUCUUAUUCCUUUCUCAAAAGAAAUAAGGAGACCCAAUACUGCAACGGAUGAAGUAAGUAAACAAACCAAGAAUGUUAGUAAAAAUAAUCCAGGAGAUUUUGACUUUGUUUUCGAAAACAUAGAAAUUAUCAUUGGGCCCCUAUUAUUUGUUCUCAGAGUGGUUGAGCAUAGGCAUGACAAAAACAAGAGGGAAAGAGAUUUCCCUGUUAACUUUGAUAAAAUCCUUGCUUGACGUCUAAUAUCGCUUCUAAACUUUGCGCUCCAUCUUGGUUGCCCAGGAAUAUCCAACAAUAAUAAAAGCACUCCUACAAUUAACUGAAGGCAAGAAUUUACAAAGUUUGUGAUCCUUAACCCAAAUAAUGAAUAUAUAGCAGAAAAAAAUCCUGCUAUAGACAGAACAAGAGUCGCAAUAAAGAAUAAUGUUUGAUAUUUCACAUUAAAUUCCGCCAAAGUAGCAUCCACUAUCUCCCCACUGUGCUCUAUCUUCUCUUGAAAUACUCCUAUUUCCUUAUCUCUAUUUCCAUACAUUUAUAUUCAAAAUAAGUAAUAUA
rnacentral:antisense_RNA from 1 species